GGGUCAUUGUGGUUUUGUGUUCAUGUUAGUCGUCUUUAAAACACGUUUCCCUGCAUUUGGGUCCUGCUCUUUACAUCCUGGGGCCACAACACAACACCGACAAGACAACCUGAUUGGAGGUUUUGUGACUCCACAAAUCGGCACCAUGCUGGCAUGAGCAGUCCCCUCUUAUUACCACAAUGCCUCAUGUGGUUAGGAAGGCCACUGGAGGUACCCUGGUGCAAGAGAUCACAGAACACUUCAUGCCACGGGGAAGAAACCCCCCCUAAAAAAAAAAAAUGGCAUCAUUCACCCGAACCCCCCUCCACCAUCUCUUCUGGUUCUCAAAGCUGAUUGUGAUAAAAGGCCCCCGCGCCACACUUUGGACACCCCUGUUGUAAAGACUUGAACUGGGUAGGGUGGAUGCUACUGUAUAACUUAUAACUUAAACCAUAGAUGGCUUUUUUUUCUUUAAUAUUUCAACUACUAAAAUGACAAUUUUUUUAUAUUAUAUAUUAUAUAUUAAUGUAAUAAAAAAUUAUAAUAAAUUAUUUUAUUAAUGGCUUUUUACUUAAUAUACUCAAUAUGCAUAAGAGUUUUUUUUCACUAAAUUUCAUGACCUAUCCAACUUACAGCUUGCGUUUUUGAGUUUUAGACGCUAAUUGUUUUACAUUUUUAUUCAUGUACCCCAUAUGGGAAUUAACGUACCCCACUUCGGGAACCACUGAAUUACAUGUACCGGAAGCAAUCAAUCUUGGAUGGAGAGCUUCUCUCUACC